rnacentral:tRNA from 1 species
GGCUGGUUAGCUCAGUCAGUUGAACAUGGUGCUAAUAACGCUAAGGUCGCGGGUUCGAUUCCCGUUCGGUCC